rnacentral:piRNA from 1 species
UCCAAAUCCGUUCUCUGGUCCUGCGUGCA